ACAUAGAAAAAGCUUUGCUUAUUGAAUAAAAAUUGGUUUUUGUAAACCUGGGUUUUGAAUUAUCUAUAUCGAGUUAGGUAUGAACAGAAGAAAAUCAUACGAUUCAUUCAUGAAUCCCGAUUAUUAAAUUCUGAGUAAGGAAUGUAAUGGUUUUUUUUAUGGUGUUUUUUUUAUUUCUAUAAACUACUACUAUUGUAUUCUGCCAGACAUCUUGCUCCAAUCAAAAACUUUAUAAAAAUUGUCUUGUAGAAUGUUUGAUCAUAAUUGAUACAUUGAGG